rnacentral:rRNA from 1 species
GCGCCUGAUAACUAGCCCACUAACAAGAAAAAACACCGAAAUAAAUAUUCUGAUAAGACCUGCAACAUGCACAACAAACCAUUUUCCCCCUUUAGUAUAGGAGAUAGAAAAAGACCUCGAGAGCUACAGAUAAAGUACCGCAAGGGAACGCUGAAAGAGAAAUGAAAUAAUCUAAAAAGCCCUAAAAAGCAGAGACUAAAUCUCGUACCUUUUGCAUCAUGAUUCAGCCAGAAAUAUUCAAGCAAAAAGGAUUAUAGUUUGACACCCCGAAACUAAGUGAGCUACUCCAGAGCAGCCCUUCAAGGGGGCACACCCGUCUCUGUCGCAAAAGAGUGGGAAGACUCUCGAGUAGAGGUGACAAACCUAUCGAACUUAGUUAUAGCUGGUUGCCUAGGAAAUGAAUAGAAGUUCAGCCCGGUUGUUUCUUGAACGCCCAACUACAAUGACCAAAAGAAACCACCAGAGUUAGUCAAAAGAGGUACAGCUCUUUUGAAAAAGACACAACUUUUAAAGAAGGGUAAAGAUCAAAAUGUAUAAGGCAUCUUGUAUAUGUGGGCUUGAAAGCAGCCACCCAUAAAGAAAGCGUUAAAGCUCGAAUACAACAACUGCCAAUUAUACUGAUAACUUUAUCUCAACCCUCUAUGCCUACUAGGCCUUCUCAUACAUAUAUGUGAGUGAUAAUGCUGAUAUGAGUAAUAAGAAAUAAGACUUUCUCCUAACACACGUGUACGUCGGAACGGACCCCCCACCGACUAUUAACGAACCCAACCAAAGAGGGUAUUGAAAAUAAAAUAGAUAACUAGAAAAAUUCUCAAUAAUUAACGUUAACCCCACACUGGUGUGCCUACAAGGAAAGACUAAUAGGGAGAGAAGGAACUCGGCAAACAUAAACCUCGCCUGUUUACCAAAAACAUCGCCUCUUGCAGAAACUAAGAAUAAGAGGUCCUGCCUGCCCUGUGACAAUACGUUUAACGGCCGCGGUAUCCUGACCGUGCGAAGGUAGCGCAAUCACUUGUCUCUUAAAUGGAGACCCGUAUGAAUGGCAAGACGAGGGUUUAACUGUCUCCUCUUCCUGGUCAAUGAAAUUGAUCUCCCCGUGCAGAAGCGGGGAUAAACACAUAAGACGAGAAGACCCUGUGGAGCUUUAGACACUAAAGUAGCCCCCGUUAACUUAGCCCUCAUUAAGGGACAAAACUAACUAAAUUCUACCCUAUUGUCUUUGGUUGGGGCGACCACGGGGAAAACAAAACCCCCACGAGGAACGGGAGGAACCCUCCUUUAAACAAGAACCACUAGUCGAAAGAUCAGAAUUUUCUCUGACCAUUAUGAUCCGGCAAAGCCGAUCAACGAACCGAGUUACCCCAGGGAUAACAGCGCAAUCCUCUUUCAGAGUCCAUAUCGACAAGAGGGUUUACGACCUCGAUGUUGGAUCAGGACAUCCUAAUGGUGCAGCCGCUAUUAAGGGUUCGUUUGUUCAACGAUUAAAGUCCUACGUGAUCUGAGUUCAGACCGGAGUAAUCCAGGUCAGUUUCUAUCUAUGAAAUAACCUCUUUCUAGUACGAAAGGAUUGAAAAAGGGGGGCCAAUAAUAUAAAUAUGCCCCACCCCCAAUAGCUGAUAGCAAAUAAAACAACAAAAGGGGUGUAUACUGUAUAUAUCCUAGAGAACGGUACU